AUCCAUCUGAUGAGUUUUAAAUAGGACGAAACGCGCGUCCUGGAU
rnacentral:hammerhead_ribozyme from 1 species